GUGUCAGCAGCCGCGGUAAUACAGAGGAUGCAAGCGUUAUCCGGAAUCACUGGGCAUAAAGCGUCUGUAGGUUGCCUACCAAGUCUGCUGUUAAAGAUCAGGGCCUAACCCUGGGAAAGCAGUGGAAACUAGUAGGCUUGAGUGUGGUAGAGGUAGAGGGAAUUCCUGGUGUAGCGGUGAAAUGCGUAGAUAUUAGGAAGAACACCAAUGGCGAAAGCACUCUACUGGGCCACAACUGACACUGAGAGACGACAGCUAGGGGAGCAAAUGGGAUUAGAUACCCCAGUAGUCCUAGCCGUAAACGAUGGAUACUAGGUGUUGCACGUAUUAACCCGUGCAGUAUCGUAGCUAAGGCGUUAAGUAUCCCGCCUGGGAAGUACGCUCGCAAGAGUGAAACUUAAAGGAAUUGACGGGG
rnacentral:rRNA from 1 species